rnacentral:rRNA from 1 species
ACGAACGCUGGCGGCGUGCUUAACACAUGCAAGUCGAACGGAAAGGCCCUGCUUUUGUGGGGUGCUCGAGUGGCGAACGGGUGAGUAACACGUGAGUAACCUGCCCUUGACUUUGGGAUAACUUCAGGAAACUGGGGCUAAUACCGGAUAGGAGCUCCUGCUGCAUGGUGGGGGUUGGAAAGUUUCGGCGGUUGGGGAUGGACUCGCGGCUUAUCAGCUUGUUGGUGGGGUAGUGGCUUACCAAGGCUUUGACGGGUAGCCGGCCUGAGAGGGUGACCGACCACAUUGGGACUGAGAUACGGCCCAGACUCCUACGGGAGGCAGCAGUGGGGAAUAUUGCACAAUGGGCGGAAGCCUGAUGCAGCAACGCCGCGUGCGGGAUGAAGGCCUUCGGGUUGUAAACCGCUUUCGCCUGUGACGAAGCGUGAGUGACGGUAAUGGGUAAAGAAGCACCGGCUAACUACGUG